rnacentral:rRNA from 1 species
GAUGAACGCUAGCGAUAGGCCUAACACAUGCAAGUCGAGGGGCAUCACAUGAAGUAGCAAUACGGAUGGUGGCGACCGGCGCACGGGUGAGUAACACGUAUGCAACCUGCCUUCAACAAGGGGAUAACCCGUUGAAAGACGGACUAAUACCCUAUAACACAGGGGUCCCGCAUGGGAAUAUUUGUUAAAGGACAACCGGUUGAAGAUGGGCAUGCGUUCCAUUAGCUAGUUGGCGGGGUAACGGCCCACCAAGGCAACGAUGGAUAGGGGGAACUGAGAGGUUUAUCCCCCACACUGGUACUGAGACACGGACCAGACUCCUACGGGAGGCAGCAGUGAGGAAUAUUGGUCAAUGGACGCAAGUCUGAACCAGCCACGUCGCGUGAAGGAAGACGGCCCUACGGGUUGUAAACUUCUUUUCCCCCUGACGAGACAAGGACGGUAGGGGGGGAAUAAGUCUCGGCUAACUACGUG